rnacentral:rRNA from 1 species
AUUGAACGCUGGCGGCAGGCUUAACACAUGCAAGUCGAACGAGUGGCGGACGGGUGAGUAAUGCUUGGGAAUCUAGCUUAUGGAGGGGGAUAACUACGGGAAACUGUAGCUAAUACCGCGUACCAUAGGAGGAGCCCAAGUGGGAUUAGGUAGUUGGUGAGGUAAAGGCUCACAAAGCCGCAGAUCUAUAGCUGGUCUGAGAGGAUGAACAGCCAAGCUGGGGCUGAGACACGGCCCUGACUCCUACGGGAGGCAGAAGUGGGGAAUAUUGCGCAAUGGGGGCAACCUGACGCAGCCAUGCCGCGUGAAUGAAGAAGGCCGUGGGGUUGUAAAGUUCUUUCGGUAGCGAGGCGUUAACUACAGAAGAAGCACCGGCUAACUCCGUGCCAGCAGCCGGGGUAAUAG